AUGAACGCUAGCUAUAGGCUUAACACAUGCAAGUCGAGGGGAAACGGCAUUAUGUGCUUGCACAUUCUGGACGUCGACCGGCGCACGGGUGAGUAUCGCGUAUCCAACCUUCCCUCCACUCGGGGAUACCCCGUUGAAAGACGGCCUAAUACCCGAUGUUGUCCACAGAUGGCAUCUGACGUGGACCAAAGAUUCAUCGGUGGAGGAUGGGGAUGCGUCUGAUUAGCUUGUUGGUGCGGGUAACGGCCCACCAAGGCGACGAUCAGUAGGGGUUCUGAGAGGAAGGUCCCCCACAUUGGAACUGAGACACGGUCCAAACUCCUACGGGAGGCAGCAGUGAGGAAUAUUGGUCAAUGGGACGUAAAGUCUGAAACCAGCCAAAGUAAGCCGUGCAGGAAUGGACGGGCCCCUAAUGGGG
rnacentral:rRNA from 1 species